rnacentral:snRNA from 1 species
GUGCUCACUUCAGCAGCACACAUACUAAAACUGGACCGAUGCAGGGUACCAUGGCCCCUGCACAAGGAUGACACACAAAUUACAUAUUUUU